rnacentral:tRNA from 1 species
GGAUCGGUAGCUCAGCUGGUUAGAGCGCUGCCCUGUCACGGCAGAGGUCGCGGGUUCGAGUCCCGUCCGUUCCGC